AUUUCUUCCCGAAUUCCCCUUCCUUGCCCUUUUUGCAGUUGGAAUGGGGUGUGGAUUAACUGCUUACUGAUGAUUCUCUUGCUGCUGUGAUCGAAUCUGAAGUGAU